rnacentral:lncRNA from 1 species
CAUGAUCUCCCUCUCUAUUACUAUUUCAUAAAACCUAUUUUUUUUUUGCCUAUCCUUUCAUUCAAUAUCUCCUCCUUGUCAAAACUAAGCCAUCUCUGUGUCUUUGAUCCCAACCUUCCCAUCUCUUUUAGGAGCUUGUCCUAUAUAGAUCACUUCCCCUCCAGUUUGCCGUGCCCUAUCUUCAAUCUCCUAGCUCCCGUGCUGCUGAGAUAUAUGAUCAGGCCUCCCUCAUCCUUUAAAAAAAUCCUUUCAGGGGGCAGCUGGGUGCUUUACUAAUCUUUUUUAGCUAUAUAACUGUAAAUCUGUGGCUUUCCACAGAUAAUCAUCUGUAAAAACCAGUUUCCUUCUCAUUUUUCCAGUAAAAAUGCUCUUCAUGCAUAUAUAAACCAUAUAAAAAUUUUAUAUAUAUACAAGGAAAUUGGCAUAUAGGUUUCUAAUUGCUAUUGCCUUUUUGGUCAUGAUUUCUGGGUAAAAAUAUUGAGAAUGAUUACUUUUUUUUCCUAUCUUUUAGAUAUCCUUAAAAUUGACUUGAGUAUUUUUAAAAUUGUUUUGCUUUCAGGACAAAUUUUUUUUUUCUAUAAGUAUUCAGUUGUCUCCAUUCCUGGCUUUCCAUAUUCAUAAAUAUAUUUUAUACCAAGAUUACCAAUAUGGAUAUAGAUCAGAUCUUUUAAUAUCACUCAAUUUAUACUCGGAAUGGCAACCAUAAUAUUUGUGCUUGUGGACUAAGAACUAUAUGAUUCUUUGCUCUUUCUAACCCAUUUUCUAACUUCACCAGUCAUAGGGGAAUUGGGAAGACUGAAGGCCAUUCUGAUAUUUAGUCUGUGUCAUGUAUUACAAUCUCCCAAAGAAUUCAUCACUGCUAUGUUGAUCUGUGACACUCAAGGGAGUAUGAAAAGUAGAAGAUUUCUUAAGAUUUUUUUGGUAAUACUCAGGUUAGUUUUAUUUUAAUAUACUGUUGCAUGCAUGUUAUCUCAAGGACAAGAGGAAAAGACACAGACUGUUACUAAUUGAAUAAGAAAGAGGAGUGGUAACCAUGUAAAGAGAAGAUAACCAAAGAAUGGAGCCUGACUAUUAAUAUACCAUUGGAGAGUCUUAAUAUAGGAUCUUCCAUGGAUGUGUAGUCAAAUUUGGGGCCUGGAUUGGAUGAUGCUUGCAAGCAUUAUUCAUAUAUUUAAGGCCCUGUGGAGACUUUGGGAGGUAAAGUAAGGUUGUUUAGUGCAUGGCAUUCCCUAUUUCCUUGACUAAUUAAUCCUAGUCACAUAGGAUUAAAAAAACU